UCAGAGGAUCUGCAGUUUCAAAAAGCCGAUUGAGUACGGCGUGAAAGCGCGAGGCUGACGAGCCCCCCGCCUCCUACAGCCGCUCUCUUUAGCGCACACCUCCUUCCGUGCCCCGCAAGGAAGAGACCCAUUGGAGCCCCCAGCGCAUCGCAUCCCCGCUUUCCACCCCCCCCCCCCCCAUCCAUCAUGUCCCCCAGCACCUCGCACACCCCGUGGAUGUCAUCAGCAUCGCAGUUUCAAGGCUGGGGAUGGUACUCCCAGCUUAGCCGGGCUCUUUCAUUCAUAAAAUUGCAAGGAGCUCAGUAAGAAGAGAAAAAGCCAAAAAGAAAAAGAAAACCCGAAAAAAACCCCAAACAAACCCCAAACCAAAACCGAACAGACCUCCCUAUACCCCACCGGAGGGCAGACGGUACAAAACAACGGAGCUGUGCGCAUUUCUCUUUUAUUUCGUGUAGCGAAGAGAGAAAAAAAAAAGUAGAGAGAAAGAGGAAAAAAGCCAACACAAAAAAGCCUCUACAGUCGAUUGUAUCCACGAAUAUGUGUAUAAUGAACCCAGAAGGAAUGCAGCACUAAAAGAAGCCUUUGUAAUGUUGCUAUUUUAAGGAGACCCUUGGGUAUGGCACGUGUUGAACUGAGUUUCUCCAACAUCUUACAACAAACCAAAAUGUUUAGAUCCUCCUACUGAUGUAAAACAGCAUUAAAGAAAAUAAAAAUACAUAAUCAGUCUAAACUGGCUAAGAAUUUAACCAGGAA